UUUCCAUUAGCCUUGAAUUGGAUGGAUUGACAUUGACGAGGGAAAAAGGGUAUUUGGACAUAGAGCAAUGUUUUUUUUUUUCUUAUCAAAACGCUUCCAAACACUACAUGCAAAAUCUAUUCCACUAUUACAGGACCUGGACAAUUUGCUGUGCUUGAUGGAGCAAAAUGAAUUCUGCUGUUUAGAAGAAGAUCCUGAAGGAGAACGUCCGGCCAUCAAUGUGUGCCCUCAAACUUAAGCGCUCUUGGAUCAUGCAGAGGGACAAAGAUCCAUCGCAAACCAGACCUCAAUCAGGCGUGGUAGUGUCUGAUCAUCUCCUGGGUCCACCAGCUCACAGGAUGGCAUAGGUGGAAAGCUUUCAAUGAG